rnacentral:rRNA from 1 species
UACGGGGGGGGCAAGCGUUGUUCGGAAUUACUGGGCGUAAAGGGCUCGUAGGCGGCCAACUAAGUCGGAUGUGAAAUCCCCAGGCUCAACUUGGGAACUGCAUCCGAUACUGGAUGGCUUGAAUUCGGGAGAGGGAUGCAGAAUUCCAGGUGUAGCGGUGAAAUGCGUAGAUAUCUGGAGGAAUACCAAAGGCGAAGGCAGCGUCCUGGGAAGCAUCUGACGCUCAGGUGCGAAAGCUAGGGGAGCGAACGGG